UACGUAGGGUGCGAGCGUUAAUCGGAAUUACUGGGCGUAAAGGGUGCGCAGGCGGUCUCGUAAGCUGGGUGUGAAAGCCCCGGGCUUAACCUGGGAAUGGCAUUCAGGACUGCGAGGCUUUGAGUGUGGCAGAGGGGGGUAGAAUUCCACGUGUAGCAGUGAAAUGCGUAGAGAUGUGGAGGAACACCGAUGGCGAAGGCAGCCCCCUGGGUCAAGAUUGACGCUCAUGCACGAAAGCGUGGGGAGCAAACAGG
rnacentral:rRNA from 1 species